GGCAGUUCUCGGUGACGCAACCCGGAACCGGGCUCCCUCCUCUCUGGUUCCAGGUGCGUCAUCCGAGAACCACA
rfam:Myotis lucifugus cont2.14524, whole genome shotgun sequence.